rnacentral:lncRNA from 1 species
CGCCCAUAAAUAACAAAUUAGGGAAAAAAAACUAUGCAAAUCUGAGGGCUUGAACCCAACACCUGAUGAACCAAAAUCUAACUAGAUACUAGAAAAUCAAGAACAUAAUUAAAACCAUUUUUUCUUUUUUUUAAUCCUCAACAAACAAUUGUAAGAGUUUGCGUAGGGUGAGCGACGGGGCGUCAUGCUGGAGUGGUAGAGAGGAACCUUAUGGUUAGGGUAGGACGUCGUGGAAGGUUGGUGAGGCAGUGAUCCUGUGUGAGGUGCCGAUUGUGGGUGCUAGAAGCCCAAUAGAGAGGAAGGCAACUGGGAGGUGCAUCAUGCAAUUUCCAACCAUACAAUCUUUCUUCCGUAGCAACGCACGGGCAUAUUUCCUAGUAAUACUAAAUUAUAUAAAUAUUAAAAUGUUCUUAAACAUAAUUUAGUUAAAGUUAUUGACUUCUCGAAAAACGAAAUUGACACUUAUUUUAGGACGCGAGAAGUAGUUCAUUAUCUACGCAUAGGAACCCUGAGCUUGAUGAAAGUAAGGAUAUGUAUAUAUUUAAAAAUUACAGU